GGGACUCCCCCGGCCUCUGCCCACUGCGGAAGUGCCUCCCCGAGCGCCCCCACCCAGGCACACGGGUCGGUAUCCUUCACAGCUAGGAUUAAUAACGUCACCCUCCCUGCGUGUUUAUUAACAACAGGAAUAAUUAAUGGUGGGGAUGGCGAUUCCAGGUAGCCAGAGCAUGUGCUGCAGCACCUGGAGCGGCCCCCGCUGGAUGCAGCAGCCCUGCAAAGGAAGGUGAAGAGCAAGGAGCCUGGAGUACUGGCAGCACAGAAUGAUCCUGAUCCAAAAUGGCAAAGCUGCUCCCCACAGACAGUGCAGCAGGAAAAUAUGAGCAGAGUGUUGUUAUUCGUUCUUACAGUAUUUUCCACUCUACAGAAGAUUGAAAUGUUUGAGGAAAUUUCUCCUUCAAAAUUAAAAGAUAAAUAAAUUGUAAGAAGUUCAUCAUCUGCCUAGAAUGCUUUGUACAGGUAUCACUUACCCACCACGGACUGCAUCUCCUCUUGCAUAGUGGUGUAGGAAAAUGAAUUUCAGCGUAUAAUGAGGUUACCAUAGCAGACAAGCCUUUAGACAGCACUUACGUCCUGUUCCAGAAGGUCAUCGUGCCUGUAUAAUCUCAAGCAUUCAAGUAUUCAUAGGACUAAAUCACCAGCUCUGGAAGCCUUGUAUUCUACAGGUUCAGAGCUGCUGUCUGAGGAGCUAUCUGGUCCAUUUACAUGAGUUUUAAUACAACCUGGAACUCAGGUUCUAUUAGUUCCAGAAGAAGGCAAAAGUUUUAUCAGCGUUUAUAACAAGUGAAUCAGAUGGCCCAAGUAAUUAGAAUAUUUCUCAGCCUAAGUUUUUGCUCAGGGAAAAUAACAGCACAUCUGGUAUGGGGCUUAAGUAGUCAAUUGAAAGGGAGGUAAUCUAAUGAACAUCACUUUACAUGAGUUUAUGGAAAAUUGGCAUGAACACAGUUUUGUAUCAAAUUAACUUGGUAUCUUUUUGAUGACAUUAAACGUAAGUAAAUAUAAUUCACUUUUUUGUAAUCAAUUGACAAUGUUCAAAACGUUAAAUACAUUAAAAGCUGAAUAACUU